UGGAGAAGGGACUACAGGAUAAUGGGU
rnacentral:piRNA from 1 species